AGUGAACGCUGGCGGUAGGCCUAACACAUGCAAGUCGAACGGCAGCACAGUAAGAGCUUGCUCUUACGGGUGGCGAGUGGCGGACGGGUGAGGAAUACAUCGGAAUCUACUUUUUCGUGGGGGAUAACGUAGGGAAACUUACGCUAAUACCGCAUACGACCUACGGGUGAAAGCAGGGGAUCUUCGGCCCUUGCGCGAUUGAAUGAGCCGGUGUCGGAUUAGCUAGUUGGCGGGGUAAAGGCCCACCAAGGCGACGAUCCGUAGCUGGUCUGAGAGGAUGAUCAGCCACACUGGAACUGAGACACGGUCCAGACUCCUACGGGAGGCAGCAGUGGGGAAUAUUGGACAAUGGGCGCAAGCCUGAUCCAGCCAUACCGCGUGGGUGAAGAAGGCCUUCGGGUUGUAAAGCCCUUUUGUUGGGAAAGAAAAGCAGCAGGUUAAUACCCCGCUGUUCUGACGGUACCCAAAGAAUAAGCACCGGCUAACUUCG
rnacentral:rRNA from 1 species